GACGAACGCUGGCGGCGUGCUUAACACAUGCAAGUCGAGCGGUAAGGCUCCUUCGGGAGUACACGAGCGGCGAACGGGUGAGUAACACGUGAGCAAUCUGCCCUUCACACGGGGAUAACUCCGGGAAACCGAAGCUAAUACCCGAUACGACCACUUCAGGCAUCUGAUGGUGGUGGAAAGUUCCGGCGGUGAAGGAUGAACUCGCGGCCUAUCAGCUUGUUGGUGGGGUAAAGGCCCACCAAGGCAACGACGGGUAGCCGGCCUGAGAGGGUGACCGGCCACACUGGGACUGAGACACGGCCCAGACUCCUACGGGAGGCAGCAGUGGGGAAUAUUGGACAAUGGGCGAAAGCCUGAUCCAGCAACGCCGCGUGAGGGAUGACGGCCU
rnacentral:rRNA from 1 species